rnacentral:ncRNA from 1 species
UUUAUUAAGAGUUUGAUCCUGGCUCAGGAUGAACGCUGGCGGCGUGCUUAACACAUGCAAGUCGAGCGAACAAAGCGAUGUGAAGCCUUCGGGUGGAUCAUCGCGGCGUGAGCGGCGGACGGGUGAGUAACACGUGGGUAACCUGCCCUGUACACUGGGAUAACGCACCGAAAGGUGUGCUAAUACCGGAUAAAGUGAACCUUUCGCAUGGAAGGAUCACCAAAGCUCCGGCGGUACAGGAUGGACCCGCGUCCCAUUAGCUAGUUGGUGAGGUAACGGCUCACCAAGGCGACGAUGGGUAGCCGACCUGAGAGGGUGAUCGGCCACACUGGAACUGAGACACGGUCCAGACUCCUACGGGAGGCAGCAGUGGGGAAUAUUGCACAAUGGGCGAAAGCCUGAUGCAGCAACGCCGCGUGAGCGAUGAAGGCC